rnacentral:rRNA from 1 species
AGCGAACGCUGGCGGCAGGCUUAACACAUGCAAGUCGAGCGCCCCGCAAGGGGAGCGGCAGACGGGUGAGUAACACGUGGGAACGUACCCUUCAGUUCGGAACAACCCAGGGAAACUUGGGCUAAUACCGGAUAAGUCCGUAAGGAGAAAGAUUUAUCGCUGAAGGAUCGGCCCGCGUCUGAUUAGCUAGUUGGUGAGGUAAUGGCUCACCAAGGCUACGAUCAGUAACUGGUCUGAGAGGAUGAACAGCCACAUUGGCACUGAGACACGGCCCAAACUCCUACGCGAGGCAGCAGUGGGGAAUAUUGGACAAUGGGGGCAACCCUGAUCCAGCCAUGCCGCGUGAGUGAUGAAGGCCCUAGGGUUGUAAAGCUCUUUCAGCGGGGAAGAUAAUGACGGUACCCGCAGAAAAAGCCCCGGCUAACUUCGUGCCAGCAGCCGCCGUAAGAC